AACGUAGGACACAAGCGUUUAUCCGGAGUUACUGGGCGUAAAGGGCGUUUAGGCGGGUGAUUAAGUUCGCUAUGAAAGCGCCAGGCUAAACCUGGCGAGGCUGGCGGAUACUGGUCAUCGUGGAGUGAGGGAGAGGGAAGUAGAAUUCCGCGUGUAGUGGUGAAAUGCGUAGAGAUGCGGAGGAAUACCAGUGGCGAAGGCGACUUCCUGGCCUGUUCUUGACGGCUGAGGCGCGAAAGCUAGGGGAGCAAACGGG
rnacentral:rRNA from 1 species